GACGAACGCUGGCGGCGUGCUUAACACAUGCAAGUCGAACGGAAAGGCCCUGCUUUUGUGGGGUGCUCGAGUGGCGAACGGGUGAGUAACACGUGAGUAACCUGCCCUUGACUUUGGGAUAACUUCAGGAAACUGGGGCUAAUACCGGAUAGGAGCUCCUGCUGCAUGGUGGGGGUUGGAAAGUUUCGGCGGUUGGGGAUGGACUCGCGGCUUAUCAGCUUGUUGGUGGGGUAGUGGCUUACCAAGGCUUUGACGGGUAGCCGGCCUGAGAGGGUGACCGGCCACAUUGGGACUGAGAUACGGCCCAGACUCCUACGGGAGGCAGCAGUGGAGAAUAUGGCACAAUGGGCGGAAGCCUGAUGCAGCAACGCCGCGUGCGGGAUGACGGCCUUCGGGUUGUAAACCGCUUUCGCCUGUGACGAAGCGUGAGUGACGGUAAUGGGUAAAGAAGCACCGGCUAACUACGUG
rnacentral:rRNA from 1 species